ensembl:lncRNA
UGCACCUGUACUUCCUUCCCAACUGUCACUGUGUGAGCUGAGCUGCUGCAGUUUGGUCACUGGUGAGAAGUUCCCCAUGAUGGGAAAUGUGAAUUGCCGUUCUUUAGGAAAUUUCUGUAGCAAUGAAGCAGAAGAUGUACCUCACAAGACGACAAUAUCCAUAAAGAAAAGAGACUGCUUCUGCUCGCACAUCAGGGUGCACCCUCUUCCUGUACCAGAGGAAGCUCAUCCCAAGGGCCUGAUGCAAGAGUUUCCCAGAACAAAUGCAGAGGAAGUACCCAUAACACUUCCUGAGGGUGAGGCCACAGUAACUGUUCACAGUAUAUAUUCUAGAAUUGGAAUCUUGUUGAGAACAACUCUUGCUGACUAUGAGGGUUCCAUCAAUGUCCUGAUGGAUGAAGUUUCCAGUGACAUGGGAGACAGAGACACCACAUGGACUUCCCAUAGUUUUUGUCUGGAGAGCAUAGCAAACUCCAGCAGUGAAGAGGAAGACUCUGCAGCCACCCAAACAUCAUUGAUGCCGUCCAAAGGAAGGCAACUCCAAGGAUGGCAAGGAUUCAGAAGAAAGGAGCAACGUGGUGCCUAUGGACCUGGUCAUGCUGGAUUCUGCUCUUCCUUUCAGUUCCCAAGAAGCACCCCUUCGCCAGAUUUAGGAUUAAAAGCAAGGGAAGCAGGUUUGCAGUCACCAGAGGAGCAAAUGCAUAUGUGGUGUCCAAUCACCAGGGCGCUGUCACUCUGCUCUCCUCCCCUCAUCCCGGAUGGGCCAUCUUGGAUCCUGCAGUUGAGGGACAGCACAGAACAGCAUCGUGACCUUCCUCUCUCAGCACAGAGCUUCACUCCCUGUCCCCUGUGGCCCAGACUUCCUGUGCAAGGUGAGAAACUGGUGGUGAGGUCACUGACCUAAGGUUCAUAGGCAGUGGGGGAUGUGGUGUAAAUAGGGUUGGACCUGCCCUGAGUUGGUGUUUCCUGUGUCAUAAGUCAGGCUAUUAGUCCUCAGAAGAGGUCAACGCACCUGCAGUUGUGUCUCAUUUUAGGAGGUGGGGGUGCAGGUGCACCAAAAUUGGGGUGUGCAUAUUUGCAACAGGUUGUUAAGGGACAUUUCCAUAGUAACAAAAUGAAAAAGGUUAAAGAUUAGGG